rnacentral:rRNA from 1 species
GGCGAACGCUGGCGGCGUGCCUAAUACAUGCAAGUUGAGCGCUGAAGGUUGGUACUUGUACCGACUGGAUGAGCAGCGAACGGGUGAGUAACGCGUGGGGAAUCUGCCUUUGAGCGGGGGACAACAUCUGGAAACGAAUGCUAAUACCGCAUAACAACUUUAAACACAAGUUUUAAGUUUGAAAGAUGCAAUUGCAUCACUCAAAGAUGAUCCCGCGUUGUAUUAGCUAGUUGGUGAGGUAAAGGCUCACCAAGGCGAUGAUACAUAGCCGACCUGAGAGGGUGAUCGGCCACAUUGGGACUGAGACACGGCCCAAACUCCUACGGGAGGCAGCAGUAGGGAAUCUUCGGCAAUGGACGAAAGUCUGACCGAGCAACGCCGCGUGAGUGAAGAAGGUUUUCGGAUCGUAAAACUCUGUUGGUAGAGAAGAACGUUGGUGAGAGUGGAAAGCUCAUCAAGUGACGGUAACUACCCAGAAAGGGACGGCUAACUACGUGCCAGCCGCCGCAGUAA